rnacentral:rRNA from 1 species
CCUACGGGAGGCAGCAGUGAGGAAUAUUGGUCAAUGGACGCAAGUCUGAACCAGCCAAGCCGCGUGCAGGAAGACGGCUCUAUGAGUUGUAAACUGCUUUUGUACGAGGGUAAACGCAGAUACGUGUAUCUGACUGAAAGUAUCGUACGAAUAAGGAUCGGCUAACUCCGUGCCAGCAGCCGCGGUAAUACGGAGGAUGCAAGCGUUAUCCGGAUUUAUUGGGUUUAAAGGGUGCGUAGGCGGUCGGUUAAGUUAGGGGUGAAAUCUCGGGGCUCAACUUCGGAAUUGCCUCUGAUACUGUCCGGCUAGAGUGUAGUAGAGGUAGGCGGAAUGUAUGGUGUAGCGGUGAAAUGCUUAGAGAUCAUGCAGAACACCGAUUGCGAAGGCAGCUUACCGGGCUACUUCUGACGUUGAGGCACGAAAGCGUGGGGAGCAAACAGGAUUAGAUACCCCUGUAGUC